rnacentral:rRNA from 1 species
UACGUAGGGUCCAAGCGUUAAUCGGAAUUACUGGGCGUAAAGCGUGCGCAGGCGGUUGUGUAAGCCAGAUGUGAAAUCCCCGGGCUUAACCUGGGAAUGGCAUUUGGGACUGCACGGCUAGAGUACGGCAGAGGAGACUAGAAUUCCUGGUGUAGCAGUGAAAUGCGUAGAUAUCAGGAGGAACACCGAUGGCGAAGGCAGCUCGCUGGGACGGUACUGACGCUGAGGCGCGAAAGCGUGGGGAGCGAACAGG